CAGCCAAAUCUCCAAGUUACAUCACUUGUUUACGGAAGCCAGAUGGAAGACAUAGACGGCCACCUGUUCUAGUUAGCUAUCUAGCGUGCUCUGAACACCUGUGUGUAAGCGUAACAGGGAGGAAAUGUAGUUGGUCAACUGGAGGACCACACAGCUUUCGGAUCUGUGCACAACUUCUACAACCAAGCUAUCACGUUGUUUCAUUCAGACGACAGCCACAUAGUGGACAUGAAGACUUGAUGAGGAUGGCGGAGGUGGUGAUGGGACCGCAGACAGCACCAUGAAACGUUCAAAGACCUCAAGCUGCAGCAAAUUAGGGUGUGACCCAUCUUCCCGAUUAUCCCCUGGAUCAACAACAGGAUCUGGCAGUAACCAUGGAGGAACAUCCCCUUUCACCACAGAAGGGCUAACCUCCAACUCCCUGAAACCACUCAUCAGCAAGCUUUACAACUGUCCAAACAAAACCACUGCCUUGUCUACUAGUAUAUUCCUAACAGUAAUCUAGAACACUAGCAGCCAUUCAACAACCUUUCAACCUAACCGAAUAAGCUAAUGACAACUUUUUACACCAUAUAUCCAAAGGCAUCUCACCUGCCUCCACUAGUAAGGCACAUACAGAUGUUGAUUUAAAUGCACCAAUACAUAUCCUUAAAGCUUUAUGCUGGAUUCUGAAGCCAAGUUAAUUUGCUAAAUUGUAAUUACUCAGCUACUAUGGCCCAUUUAUUGCCUUACCUCCUCACACCAUUUGCACACACUGUA